rnacentral:rRNA from 1 species
UCAUAGAUUUAAGCCAUGCAAGUGUUAGUUCAGGUAACGAAACUGCGAAUAGCUCAUUAAUACGCUCAGAAUCUAUUGGCGGCGACCAACAGGUCUUAAAUGGAUAGCAGCAGCAACUCUGGUGCUAAUACAUGCGAUUGUUUCUCCAGAUGUGAAUUAUGGAGGAAAAGUUGACCUCAUCAGAGGCACGCCAUUCGACUGAGUGACCUAUCAGCUUGUACUUAGGGUCUUUACCUAGGUAGGCUAUCACGGGUAACGGGCGGUUACCGUCGGACUGCCGGAGAAGGCGCCUGAGAGAUAGCGACUAUAUCCACGGGUAGCAGCAGGCGCGAAACUUUCCCACUCGAGACUUUCGGAGGAGGUAAUGACCAGUUCCAUUGGUGCCUUUUGGUACUGUGGAUAGGGGUACGGUUUUCCACCGUACCGAAACCUAGCAGAGGGCCAGUCUGGUGCCAGCAGCUGCGGUAAUUCCAGCUCUGCGAGUUUGCUCCCAUAUUGUUGCAGUUAAAACGCCCGUAGUCUGAAUUGGCCAGCAAUGGUCGUACGUAUUUUUACGUUCACUGUGAACAAAUCAGGACGCUUAGAGUAUGGCCACAUGAAUGACUCAGCGCAGUAUGAAGUCUUUGUUUUCUUCCGAAAACAAGCUCAAUGAGAGCCAUCGGGGGUAGAUCUAUCUCAUGACGAGUGGUGGAAUACUUUGACUCAUGAGAGAGAAGCUGAGGCGAAGGCGUCUACCUAGAGGGUUUCUGUCGAUCAAGGGCGAGAGUAGGAGUAUCCAACAGGAUUAGAGACCCUGGUAGUUCCUACCUUAAACGAUGCCGACAGGAGUUUGUCAUUUGUUAAUGGCAGAAUCUUUGGAGAAAUCAUAGUUCUUGGGCUCUGGGGGAACUACGACCGCAAGGCUGAAACUUGAAGGAAUUGACGGAAGGGCACACCAGGGGUGGAGCCUGUGGCUUAAUUUGAAUCAACACGGGGAAACUUACCAGGACCAGAUGUUUUUUAUGACUGACAGGCUUCGGGUCUUUCAGGAUAUUGUUUUUGGUGGUGCAUGGCCGUUGGUGGUGCGUGGGU